GACGAACGCUGGCGGCGUGCUUAACACAUGCAAGUCGAACGGAAAGGCCCUGCUUUUGUGGGGUUCUCGAGUGGCGAACGGGUGAGUAACACGUGAGUAACCUGCCCUUGACUUUGGGAUAACUUCAGGAAACUGGGGCUAAUACCGCAUAUGAGCUCCUGCUGCAUGGUGGGGGUUGGAAAGUUUCGGCGGUUGGGGAUGGACUCGCGGCUUAUCAGCUUGUUGGUGUGGUAGUGGCUUACCAAGGCUUUGACGGGUAGCCGGCCUGAGAGGGUUACCGGCCACAUGGCGACUGAGAUACGGCCCAGACUCCUACGGGAGGCAGCAGUGGGGAAUAUUGCACAAUGGGCGGAAGCCUGAUGCAGCAACGCCGCGUGCGGGAUGACGGCCUUCGGGUUGUAAACCGCUUUCGCCUGUGACGAAGCGUGAGUGACGGUAAUGGGUAAAGAAGCACCGGCUAACUACGUG
rnacentral:rRNA from 1 species